UACGUAGGGGGCAAGCGUUGUUCGGAAUUACUGGGCGUAAAGGGCGCGUAGGCGGCCAUCUAAGUCAGACGUGAAAUCCCUCGGCUCAACCGAGGAACUGCGUCUGAUACUGGAAGGCUUGAAUCCGGGAGAGGGAUGUGGAAUUCCAGGUGUAGCGGUGAAAUGCGUAGAUAUCUGGAGGAACACCGGUGGCGAAGGCGGCAUCCUGGACCGGUAUUGACGCUGAGGCGCGAAAGCGUGGGGAGCAAACAGG
rnacentral:rRNA from 1 species